AAGUAUGAAGCAAUAUAUUGCAAUUAGUUUCGACCUAAUCUUUAGAUAAAUUUAUCCUUACUUU
rnacentral:tRNA from 1 species